UCACAGUCACAUUCCAGCCAAUCAGCAGCAGACCCUCCCUCCCAGACCCUCCCACCUCCUGGACAGCUCACUAAGAAUGCAGCUUCACAAUGAAUGUAAAAUGGAUGCUGUCCAGGAGGUUGGAGGGUGUGGGAGGGAGGGUCUGCUGCUGAUUGGCUGGAAUGUGUCUGCUG
rnacentral:miRNA from 1 species